rnacentral:rRNA from 1 species
AUUGAACGCUAGCGGGAUGCUUUACACAUGCAAGUCGAACGAGUGGCGGACGGGUGCGUAAUAUAGCGGAACGUGCCCAGUCGCGGGGGAUAACUACUCGCAAGAGUGGCUAAUACCGCCUACUAUUGGAGCUGCCGAUAUCGGAUUAGCGAGUUGGUGGGGUAAAGGCUCACCAAGGCAACGAUCCGUAGCUGGUUUGAGAGGACGACAAGCCACACUGGGACUGAGACACGGCCCAGACUCCUACGGGAGGCAGCAGUGGGGAAUUUUGGACAAUGGGGGAAACCCUGAUCCAGCCAUCCCGCGUGUAUGAGAAGGCCUUCGGGUUGUAAAGUACUUUUGGCAGAGAAGCGGUAUCUGCAGAAUAAGCACCGGCUAACUACGUGCCAGCCGCCGCGGUAAUUC